rfam:Aedes aegypti strain Liverpool supercont1.1214 genomic scaffold, whole genome shotgun sequence.
UGCCCAGCAACUCCUAUCCCUACCUCCUCGCGGUACUGGCCGGGGUACGAGUAACCAACCCCCGGUGGGAACUUUGGUCGUAUGCUGACAGGGAAGG